AGCCCAUUUAUGGUGUGCCCCGCCGUGAUACUGCUGAAAUAUAGCUAAAAGUGGCGUAAAACCAUACUCACUCACUCAUGAUUCAUGAUUUCUAAAGUUGUCUUUUGUUGGUUGAAGAUUUCUUAAAUAUUACACUAUUUUAACUCGUCUCUCUUUGAACUACAUAAAUUUUUAUUGUUUGUGUGGAAUAUUGUCCCAGAUUUUCUGAUUCAGUGUGAGAAAUGUGAAAUAAUUUAUAUUCAAGUCUGUGAUUUUGUGUUCAGUUGUAUGCAUAAUCAUCAUUGGAUGAAGUUGAAUUUGAUGCUGGCGAUGAUACAACUGUUAUUUAGUGCUGGAAUACCAAUAGGUAAAUAAUAGCUUUUGAGGACACAAUUUAUGAUAUUACUACAAAUCAAAAGUUCUGUUUCACCUGUUUUGGGUGGCUUUAUGCUUUUUAGAUGUGUCUUUAGUAAUCCUUUUGAUGUUUAGAGAAAGUCUAAAGCAAGAUGUCAGGGCCUAGAUUUUCGAAGCUCUCUUAGUGCUAAGAUAGUCGUAAGUUAAUGUUAAUGUGUGGCACUUACGACUAUUGUAGCGCUUAGAGAGCCUCAAAAAUCUAGGCCCAGGUGUUUGUAUCGUAACAUUGUGAGUCUGACAUGUCCGAUGUUGGGAAUAUAAGAAACAGAGGUCAUACUUGGUUAUCAAGUGUGACAUGUCCGAUGUUGGGAAUAUAAGAAACAGAGGUCAUACUUGGUUAUCAAGUGUGACAAGUCCGAUGUUGGGAA